rnacentral:rRNA from 1 species
UACGUAGGGUGCGAGCGUUGUCCGGAAUUAUUGGGCGUAAAGGGCUCGUAGGCGGUUUGUCGCGUCGGGAGUGAAAACCAGGUGCUUAACACCUGGCUUGCUUUCGAUACGGGCAGACUAGAGGUAUUCAGGGGAGAACGGAAUUCCUGGUGUAGCGGUGAAAUGCGCAGAUAUCAGGAGGAACACCGGUGGCGAAGGCGGUUCUCUGGGAAUGACCUGACGCUGAGGAGCGAAAAGUGUGGGGAGCGAACAGG